AAACUGUUCUCUUCCAUCUAG
rnacentral:miRNA from 1 species